UACGGAGGGGGCAAGCGUUGUUCGGAAUUAUUGGGCGUAAAGCGUAUGUAGGCGGCCGGUCAAGUCAGACGUGUAAGCCCACGGCUCAACCGUGGAAUUGCGUUUGAAACUGUCCGGCUUGAGUACGGGAGAGGAAAGCGGAAUUCCCAGUGUAGCGGUGAAAUGCAUUGAUAUUGGGAAGAACAUCUGUGGCGAAGGCGGCUUUCUGGCCCGAUACUGACGCUGAGAUACGAAAGCCAGGGGAGCGAACGGG
rnacentral:rRNA from 1 species